UCUGUUUGAUCCCGGCAGAGGCUAUUGCUAUCAGGGUUUGACUAAGCCAUGCGAGUCGAGAGGUGAAAGACCUCGGCAUACUGCUCAGUAACACGUGGAUAAUCUGCCCUCAGAAGAAGAAUAAUCCCGGGAAACUGGGGCUAAUACUUCAUAGGAGACGGGUGCUGGAAUGCUCUGUCUCUGAAAGGUCCGCCGUCUGAGGAUGAGUCUGCGUCCGAUUAGGUUGUUGUUGGGGUAACGGCCCAACAAGCCUUUGAUCGGUACGGGUUGUGGGAGCAAGAGCCCGGAGAUGGAUUCUGAGACAUGAAUCCAGGCCCUACGGGGCGCAGCAGGCGCGAAAACUUUACAAUGCGAGCAAUCGUGAUAAGGAAACCCUGAGUGCCUGUCAACGCAGGCUGUUCUGGUGUCUAACACACACCAGGAGAAAGGGCGGGGCAAGACCGGUGCCAGCCGCCGCGGUAAUACCGGCUGCUCGAGUGAUAGCCACUUUUACUGGGCUU
rnacentral:rRNA from 1 species